GGCGGCGGCGGCGGGGCUGGCGGGCGUUCGCGGAGCGCAGGCUCGGCUACCGCCUGGGGCACCCGCGCCUGACCUCGCCGGCCGGCGGCCUGGGUCGGGGGGACGCCCGGCUCGCUGCGGCCCUCCCGCCGGAGCCCGGGCCCGCCGUAGGCCGCAGGUCCCCCGGUGGGCCGGUGCCGGCGGGGCCUGCUCGGGUCGCGGUCCGACCGACGUGAAACCGUCGUGUGUGGGCAAAGGCGCGCCUUAGACUCGGCUGUCCCCAGUGGCGCUGACGAGCCGUUAGUCGCUACCCGCGCCCCAGUCCUGUGCGGAGGACCUGCACAUGCCGGUCUUCGUCCACGUUCUUGCUGGAGUGACAUGUUUUUGUGAUGCAUUCCUUCUGAUACAUGUUUUACAGUUACUGACACAUCGAAAUAAACAGAGUCGCAGUCCAAGGCUCAGGGCUACGGUUUUCCACCGUUGCAAGAUGCUGCGCUGCCCAGAGACGCCUUUACAAUGGUACACAUCACGCUACGUGUCUUAUGUACGCACCUGCAUAUGUGUGAUUGUAUAUUGCACUGCAAACCGGUUAUGUGUAUUGAGAUAAGUGUAUCUCAGCGAUCUGGAAUUGCUUGUGUUUUAACUGCGACCUGGGUUAUCUACAAAACAAACUGCUCUCUAAUAGGUACUCUCCUUUAGAUUAUGUAGUGAGUCAAGAUGCUAAUAAAAAUCAGCUUUACUAAUAAAAUAUUUUGACACAGCA